GAAGGGGUUGGUUGGGCCUAGGUUUUGUUGUUUUUUUAGUUUUUCUUAUUCAAUCACAUACUUUUAUCAAAAUUUUAGAAUAAUAUGUAUUUUUAACCAGUUGUUAAUCCAAUAUGGUCGUUACUAUUUCUUUUUUAUAUGAAAAACCUCAAGCUUGUUACUAGUUAAUCAUUAAAUUUAGACAUUUUAUAUUUAUGUUAUAAAAAAAACAUUUGACCACUUAUUUUUCUUUGAAAAUAAAAUAAGAUCCUCACUGAGUUCCUAACUUCCGCAAAUCG
rnacentral:lncRNA from 1 species